rnacentral:rRNA from 1 species
GGUUGUAAGCCAUGUCAUGUUGAAAACACCAGUUCUUUUCUGAUCACCAAAGUUAAGCAAUGUUGAUCCUAGUUAGUUCUUAUAUGGGUGACUACUUUGGAAACCAAGUUGUGAUAAGUA